GACGAACGCUGGCGGCGUGCUUAACACAUGCAAGUCGAGCGGUAAGGCCACUUCGGGGGUACACGAGCGGCGAACGGGGGAGGAACACGAGGGUGACCUGCCCCCAGCUCUGGGAUAAGGCUGGGAAACGGGGUCCAAUACCGGAAAUGACCGUUCCUUGCAAGGGGAUGGGUGGAAAGUUUUUUCGGCUGGGGAUGGGCCCGCGGGCUGUCAGCUUGUUGGUGGGGUGAUGGCCUACCAAGGCGACGACGGGUAGCCGGCCUGAGAGGGCGACCGGCCACACUGGGACUGAGCCACGGCCCAGACUCCUCCGGGAGGCAGCAGUGGGGAAUAUUGCGCAAUGGGCGGAAGCCUGACGCAGCGACGCCGCGUGGGGGAUGACGGCCUUCGGGUUGUAAACCUCUUUCGACCCCGACGAAUUUGGACGGUAGGGGUAGAAGAAGCACCGGCCAACUACGUG
rnacentral:rRNA from 1 species